rnacentral:rRNA from 1 species
CCUACGGGAGGCAGCAGUCGAGAAUCAUUCACAAUGGGGGAAACCCUGAUGGUGCGACGCCGCGUGGGGGAAUGAAGGUCUUCGGAUUGUAAACCCCUGUCAUGUGGGAGCAAAUUAAAAAGAUCGUACCACAAGAGGAAGAGACGGCUAACUCUGUGCCAGCAGCCGCGGUAAUACAGAGGUCUCAAGCGUUGUUCGGAAUCACUGGGCGUAAAGCGUGCGUAGGCGGGCUGUUAAGUCAGCGGUAAAAGCCCGGGGCUCAACCCCGGCGAGCCGUUGAAACUGGCUGUCUUGAGAUGUCGAGAGGUAGGCGGAAUGCGCAGUGUAGCGGUGAAAUGCUUAGAUAUUGCGCAGAACUCCGAUUGCGAAGGCAGCAUACCGGCGGCGAUCUGACGCUGAGACACGAAAGCGUGGGUAUCGAACAGGAUUAGAUACCCCAGUAGUC